UACGUAGGCAGCGAGCGUUGUUCGGAGUUACUGGGCGUAAAGGGUGUGUAGGCGGUUGCUUAAGUUUGGUGUGAAAUCUCCCGGCUCAACUGGGAGGGUGCGCCGAAUACUGAGUGACUCGAGUGCGGGAGAGGAGAGUGGAAUUCCUGGUGUAGCGGUGAAAUGCGUAGAUAUCAGGAGGAACACCGGUGGUGUAGACGGCUUACUGGACGACUAACAUGCGCUGAGGCACGAAAGACGUGGGUAGCAAACAGG
rnacentral:rRNA from 1 species